GGUACCAGAUGGAUACUUGAGUGCUAAGCUGGUUGUCCUUGGGCCCUUCAUGCCAGGCUCCCAGCGGCCCUGCCCUCUGAACAUCAGGCAAUGCCUCUCUACAAUACAUAGCUUUAAUCAGCAGCAAAAUAAAAUGGGUCUCAUUGAAUAAGGCUUACAAAGAUGAUGAGCUCCUGCCUGGGUUUGCAAUGCCUGCUGUGCAGACGAGCCGCAUCUGUGGACUCCUCCUUAGUCAGACCAAGCUGCCAUCUUUCCCUUGGCUCCAAAGGUGACCUAUGAGCUGCCACACCUACUCUAGGAAUGCCCAGCAAAGUCCUGACUUGGCAACAGGGACCAGGGAUAGAGACUUUGACACAUCUCUGGUGACUCUUCUG
rnacentral:lncRNA from 1 species